rnacentral:rRNA from 1 species
CCUACGGGAGGCAGCAGUGGGGAAUAUUGGGCAAUGGGCGCAAGCCUGACCCAGCAACGCCGCGUGGAGGAAGAAGGCUUUCGGGUUGUAAACUUCUUUUCUCAGGGACGAAGCAAGUGACGGUACCUGAGGAAUAAGCCACGGCUAACUACGUGCCAGCAGCCGCGGUAAUACGUAGGUGGCAAGCGUUAUCCGGAUUUACUGGGUGUAAAGGGCGUGUAGGCGGGACUGCAAGUCAGAUGUGAAAACCACGGGCUCAACCUGUGGCCUGCAGUUGAAACUGUAGUUCUUGAGUACUGGAGAGGCAGACGGAAUUCCUAGUGUAGCGGUGAAAUGCGUAGAUAUUAGGAGGAACACCAGGGGCGAAGGCGGCUUACUGGACUGUAACUGACGUUGAGGCUCGAAAGCGUGGGGAGCAAACAGGAUUAGAUACCCCUGUAGUC